rnacentral:rRNA from 1 species
GAUGAACGCUAGCGGAAGGCAUAAUACAUGCAAGUCGAACGGAUGUAGCAAUACAUUAGUGGCGCACGGGUGCGUAACGCGUAUGCAACCUACCUUCAUCAGGGGGAUAACUACUCGAAAGGGUGGCUAACACCGCAUCAUACUACUGAAUGGCAUCAUUUGGUAUUUAAAUCUGAGGAGGAUGAAGAUGGGCAUGCGUCUGAUUAGCUAGUUGGUGUGGUAACGGCGCACCAAGGCGACGAUCAGUAGGGGAACUGAGAGGUUGGUCCCCCACACUGGCACUGAGAUACGGGCCAGACUCCUACGGGAGGCAGCAGUAGGGAAUAUUGGUCAAUGGUGGGAACACUGAACCAGCCAUUCCGCGUGCAGGAAGAAGGGUCUCUGACUUGUAAACUGCUUUAGCAAGGGAAGAAAAAGCUCAUGCGUGAGAAAUUGACGGUACCUUGAGAAUAAGCACCGGCUAACUACGUGCCAGCCGCCGCUGUAAUAC